rnacentral:sRNA from 1 species
AAUGACAGGCGGCAGGCGGUGACCGCCGCUGGGCCUGCGGAGACCGUCCGCCUGGCUCGCCGGAGCUCCCCCGCUGUCCGCCAGCCCGCGGGAGGGAGGAGGGAAGCGAAGCGUUUCCGCGGUUGGCUACUCAGUGUCUUGGUCUCAAGUUGCCUCAUUGCGGCUGGCGUUCCCAAUACAGACGCAUCGUUUCUUUUUUAAUACUUCCUAAGAAACGGAAUAACCUUCAAGCUGGCGGGAGCAAUGGUUCACAUACAGAAAGGCGAGCUGACCCAGGAGGAGAAGGAGCUACUGGAAGUCAUCGGGAAAGGCGUGCCCCACUUCCGCAGUGCUGAGUCCCAGCGGGGAGCCCCGAGGACGAGCCAGAAGCCACAUUUCCCCGGAGUCCCCGAGUGGACGUCCCAGAGGAGUUCCCUGCCGAGUCCCGUUACCUGGCAGGUACUGUCCAAGAAGCUGGAACAUUAUUAUCCAGCAAGAAUGUUCGUGUCAACUGUUUGGAUGAGAAUGGAAUGACUCCUCUAAUGCAUGCAGCAUAUAAAGGAAAACUCGAUAUGUGCAAAUUACUACUGCGACAUGGAGCCGAUGUAAAUU